rnacentral:lncRNA from 1 species
UCCGAGUGGCCAUCCUGUGGACAAAAACACGAAAAUCAUUCUGUCAUUUUACUCGAUGGGACGAAUGGAGAGCGUAUGGGGAAAAGAUUGCUUGGAGUUCAAGCCAGAGAGAUGGAUUUCGGAAAGGGGAGGGAUAAAACAUGAGCCAUCAUACAAGUUUCCGGCGUUUAAUGCGGGGCCAAGGACUUGUAUAGGUAAAGAAAUGGCAUUUACCCAGAUGAAAAUAGUUGCCACAGCCAUCAUACAUGCCUACAAAAUUGAAGUUGUGGAAGGGCACCCUAUAGCCCCAAGUGAUUCUAUUAUUCUGCAAAUGAAAUAUGGUUUGAAGGCCAGGUUAGCCAAAAGGAAUGUGUAGUAGUAUAGUAGUUAAGAGUUUUCUCUCAUGUGAAUUAUGAAGAGAAUUGUGUUAGUUGCAACUUUGUCAUGUGUUGUGAAGUUUGUGUAAUAAAAUAACCAGUUAUUUAUUGUUUGUUUUGGUAGUCAAAUUUAAAUUAUUGAUUAUAAUAUCUAAUACAACUGCUGAAAUAUCAAGACAUCAAUCAAUACAAGAAAUAUCAAUUAGAAUGAUUAUCUUAUGUUUCUUUAAUCUUAAAUUUUCAGCAAUUUUAUUUUUCAUUAGGAGUAGGUUGAAAGUUGAAACCAUAGUUAUUAGAAACGCUGAUCGAUUUGGGUAUGCAAAAUGCUAAUCCAAUAACUACUAGAUUAGAUUUAAUAGGAGAGGAGAGGAGUAAAAGUCCUAUCUGCAAUUAGACUUCAUAAAUAGUAUCGUAUUUUAACAUAAUCAAAAUUUUCUAGUGAAACUGUAUCUAAUUAAGAUGUUGACAAGUUAAGAAUGAAUUGUUAUCCAAUUGAUAAAAGGACUCUCUCUUGAUGUCAUGUCAAGCGAUAUUGGACUACUUUUUAUGUAACUAACGAUCUAACAUAAUAACAUGUCACACGUUAAGAUUACAUCUUCAAUGCUAAAGCUCCCUCGAUCUUUUAUCAUCUCUCCUCAUUUUAAAUAUAAAAUUGAACAUUUCUGAAUCUAUGAAAUCCCAAUUUUAUGAGGGAAUGCUAAAUGCCAAACCCAAGUCCAAUUAACCUCUACAAAAUCUUAAAAAAAUGAAUCAUUUUCCAUAUUGAUAUACCCUAACUCAGAAAUCAAUUGAAUAAGGAGACUUCUAUAUAUAUUGAAAUCUAAAAGCCCCUCAAUUGUAAAUAUAUACAAGCAUGAACAAUGCAUAUUUGCAGCUGAAAACCCAAUAAGCACAAUAUGUUCCUCUUAUAUCAUGAAGAAUUAGAAGUCGAUCACUCUUUAUGGUUAUUCCACCAAUUAUUCCAAACUGUUGAAUUUUGUUCUUCAAGAGUCAAUAAAUACAAGAGGAAUAAUUGAAGAAACCCAGAAAACAAAAUCAAUCCUUUCAAUAUAUAGAUGCAAUUUCCAUUGGUUUCCACAGAAUCUAUGAGAACCCAAAUGAAACAAAAAAAAACAAUGGGGGAAAGAUGAGGGGAACCAACAAUACUACUACUAAUAAAUUACUAGCAGCUGCUUCUCUAGCAAUAUUUCAUAUUUUAGAGAAACAACUUUAUUUGGGCAUUUAAUCGAACACCUAGCAUGCAUGCUUAAAAAAGACUUGGUUUUACAUACCUCUCCAUAUCCAAUUACCUCCUUAUAACACCUGAGCCCUUCAUGGUUCCAAUAUUUCAUCCUUCCACAACCAAUUUCAGUCACAAUUUAACAAUUAAAGUUCAUAAUUUCUUUGAAAUUUAAGAAAGUAUAUUACUUUUUUUUUGUUAGAGACUUGGUUGAAUUCUUUUUCUUUUUUUUGCCAUUCUUGAUUUCAUAUUCGGAAAGCUGAACGGACUUGUCAGGCUUCGAUGAUCGGACCACAAUUAGCUGUUCGAUUAGCUUGUCAAGAGCUGCAGGAUCCAAUUUUUUUCCCCCUGCUCUGUUUUUUUUCCCUUCUAAAUGUAACGCUUUUCUUGGUUUUCCAGAUCCUUAAAAUUGAACUUUGAAUAAAAGUCUAAUCUUCUUCAAAGACCAUGAAAUUCCAUUUCUAUUGAGAGCAAAGUGGUGGGAGUGAGGAGAGAAUAUAUUUGGCCAAAAAAUGUCUCUCCAGUGACUUCAGACUUUUUGCUCAUUUAAGCAAUUAAAAGGAACAAGUGCCCCUUUCUUAAUACCGAGCUGGU